UCACUGACCGCUCCAGAGGUUGAGCUGUCUGUCUGGUCAGUCAGCUGACCGUCCAGAGGUGAGCCUGGAUGUUCAAGAGGGAUAAGGUUAGGAGGUGUCUGGAUGGUCAGGAGGGUUAAGGUUAGGAGGUGUCUGGAUGGUCAGGAGGGUUAGGAGGUGUCUGGAUGGUCAGGAGGGUUAGGAGGUUUCU